CUUAGUGGCUGCAAAAGUAAGACAUCUGUGUACAUUGUCUGUGUGUCUACAUCUGCAAAUGUAAUAAAUUCAAAAUGAAGUUGUUGCAUAAGUAUGUAGAAAAAGAUGGUAGUGGGUCUGUGACCCUUUUGCCAGAAGAGUCAGAAGAUAUGUGGCAUGCAUAUAAUCUCAUUGCAGAAGGUGACACGUUAAAAAGUACUACUAUUAGAAAAGUAACUACAGAAUCUGCUACAGGUAGUACAGGCAGUAACAGAGUUCGCACAACCUUGACUAUUAAAGUAGAAGAUAUAGAUUUUGAUACACAGGCAUGCAUGCUACGUGUGAAAGGAAGAAAUAUUCAAGAAAAUAUGUAUGUAAAGAUGGGAGCAUAUCACACAUUAGAUCUUGAACUUAAUAGGAAAUUCACUCUUUCAAAAGAUUGUUGGGACAGUAUAGCUUUAGAAAGAAUAGAUAUGGCUUGUGAUCCUGCACAACAUGCUGAUCUUGCAGCUAUUGUAAUGCAAGAAGGUCUUGCUCAUGUCUGCCUAGUAACUUCUAGUAUGACAUUGGUACGUGCCAAAAUUGAUGUUAAUAUCCCACGCAAAAGAAAGGGAAUGUGUGCACAGCACGAAAAGGGCUUGGAAAAGUUUUUUGAAGCAGUGUAUCAAGCACUUAUAAGACAUGUGAAUUUUGACAUUGUAAAAUGUGUUCUAAUUGCCAGCCCUGGUUUCGUAAAGGAUCAGUUUUAUGAAUAUAUAUUUCAACAAGCAUCAAAAACGGAUAACAAAACAUUAUUAGAAAAUAAAAGCUCGUUUGUGUUAGUCCAUUCCUCUUCAGGCUUCAAACACUCACUAAAAGAAGUUUUAUCCGAUCCUUCAAUUGCCAAUAAGCUAGCUGACACAAAAGCUUCUAGUGAAGUAAAGUGCCUUGAACAGUUCUACACAAUGUUGAUGAAUGAAUCAAGCAAAGCAUUUUAUGGUUUGAAACAUGUUCAGAAAGCUAAUGAAGCUCAGGCAGUCGACACAUUGCUCAUCAGUGAUAAGUUAUUUCGGUGCAAUGAUGUUGCUAAACGGAAGAUGUAUGUGGAAUUGGUUGAUAGUGUGCGAGAUAGUGGUGGUGAUGUCAAGAUGUUUUCUAGUUUGCAUCCAUCUGGUGAACAGUUGGAUCAGCUGUCCGGAAUAGCAGCUAUACUUCGCUUUCCAAUGGAGGAAUUAGAAGAUGAAAAUGAUUCCAGUGAUGAAGAUUAAGAAAAGGAUAGAGAAGAGAUGAGAAUUGUUAAAGUUUCCUAGAAAUGUCUAUAAAUGCGGAAGGAAGUCUUUCCAUACAUGCCAAAUAGUUUAGCAAAUAAGUAGGUUAAAUGAGGCUAGAUUUGGUAGCUACACUGCACUUUUCAUUCAAUACACAUUCAAGUAUUUUUUUUUUUUUUUUUUAUCUACAUCAUCUAUCUUACUACAUCAGCAUUCUCUAAUAGUUUCUAAGUUAGACAUUAUGGUCUGCAUACUGAUUCCAGUUAAGUGCAUACCGAGUUGAACAAGUUCAUACACAUACCAAAUGGUUAUUUAGAAACACAUAUGAGCUGUUAGCCCUAAUUUAAGGUAUCUAAAAGAAUUCACAUUUAUUAUCUUGGAUCAUAGAAAUAAAUUUUUUACUUAGUAUUGAAUGAGUUAAAAUUAAACGACAGAAAAUACUCUUCAAAUUCUGGAAUAGGAACAAUUUUCUUAAAAGUUAUUCGAAUCACACAAUUUUGUAUGUUACCAUCACUGACUGCUAAGAAGAUUUGCAUAUGUUUGACUCCCAUGAGCAGAACAGCUAAAAUCAGAAAUAUUAAUAUUGGAAAUAUAUUUGCAUUUAAAAUGGCAGCAUGAUGGGAAAUUUUAGUUUCAUUCAUUCUCCUAUUUCUUACGUAUAAGGUUACCGUCGCUGAACAAACAUGCUUGUAUUCAUCUUGCUUAUAAGGGGUAAAAAAAUCUGAUGUGAAUGCCACAUUGACUUCCUUGUAUGGCUUAUGAAAUUAUACAAUUAUUUUGCUGCA
rnacentral:misc_RNA from 1 species